AUUGAACUGAAGAGUUUGAUCCUGGCUCAGAUUGAACGCUGGCGGUAUGCUUAACACAUGCAAGUCGAACGGAAACGAUACUAGCUUGCUAGUAGGCGUCGAGUGGCGGACGGGUGAGUAACGCGUAGGAAUCUACCUAAUAGUGGGGGAUAGCCCAGAGAAAUCUGGAUUAAUACCGCAUAAUCUCUAUGGAGUAAAGGGGCCCUCUUCUUGAAAGGUUUCGCUAUCAGAUGAGCCUGCGUAAGAUUAGCUAGUUGGUGAGGUAAAAGCUCACCAAGGCGACGAUCUUUAGCUGGUCUGAGAGGAUGAUCAGCCACACUGGAACUGAGACACGGUCCAGACUCCUACGGGAGGCAGCAGUGGGGAAUAUUGGACAAUGGGCGCAAGCCUG
rnacentral:rRNA from 1 species